AUUGAACGCUGGCGGCAGGCCUAACACAUGCAAGUCGGACGGUAGCACAGAGAGCUUGCUCUCGGGUGACGAGUGGCGGACGGGUGAGUAAUGUCUGGGGAUCUGCCCGAUAGAGGGGGAUAACCACUGGAAACGGUGGCUAAUACCGCAUAACGUCGCAAGACCAAAGAGGGGGACCUUCGGGCCUCUCACUAUCGGAUGAACCAAGCUGGGAUUAGCUAGUAGGCGGGGUAAUGGCCCACCUAGGCGACGAUCCCUAGCUGGUCUGAGAGGAUGGCCAGCCAAACUGGAACUGAGACACGGUCCAGACUCCUACGGGAGGCAGCAGUGGGGAAUAUUGCACCAUGGGCGCAAGCCUGAUGCAGCCAGGCCGCGUGUAUGAAGAGGGCCUUCGGGUUGUAAAGUACUUUCAGCGGGGAGGAAGGCGGUGCGGUUAAUAACCGCGCCGAUUGACGUUACCCGCAGAAGAAGCACCGGCUAACUCCGUGCCAGCCGCCGCAGUAA
rnacentral:rRNA from 1 species